rnacentral:rRNA from 1 species
UACGGAGGGUGCGAGCGUUAAUCGGAAUAACUGGGCGUAAAGGGCCCGCAGGCGGGCUUUUAAGUGAGGUGUGAAAUCCCCGGGCUUAACCUGGGAAUAGCAUUUCAGACUGGGAGUCUAGAGUACUUUAGGGGCGGGUAGAAUUCCACGUGUAGCGGUGAAAUGCGUAGAGAUGUGGAGGAAUACCGAAGGCGAAGGCAGCCGCUUGGGAAGGUACUGACGCUCAUGUGCGAAAGCGUGGGGAGCAAACAGG